rnacentral:misc_RNA from 1 species
AGGUAGUCGAUACGUCCCAGCCGCGCCAUCUUGGUCUUCGCUUGGAUCUGUGGAGUAAGAGUGCCAACCUCCAACAAUUUAUCAUGUAACUCUCAGCCCGGAUUUACAACCGUGGCAGAAAAGGUGAUUCUUGUUCAAGAGUAAUAGUGAACCGGACAUAAGGCCAAAUAAGACGUUGUCAUGGCGAAGAAAAAAGAGGGAUGCUGCAAGAAGUUCAUGAAAUUUCUGUUCUCGCAUGUGGGGCUGUGUGUUCUGGUGGCGCUGUAUUGUGUGGCGGGGGGAUUCAUCUUCAGACAUCUAGAACAGAACAACGAACAACAGAUCUGUUACGACUCCAGGAAUGAGUACGUCCCGAUGGAGAACAAGACUCUCUCUCAGAUGAUCAGCGUUAUGACUGAAAACGAAGGCAACGCCAAUAAAGACGUGAUGACAAUCCAGCUCAAUCCGCCUAUUUCUGUUUCAUCACGCUCAGUACCAUCGGGUUCGGUGACGUAGUUCCGGGCACGGAUUUCGAUAACCCCCAGCAGACGGCGCAGCUCAUCCUCGGCGCGGUCUACGUGCUUUUUGGGAUGGCCAUUCUGUCAAUGUGUUUCUCCCUGAUGCAGGAUGAAAUUAUCGCCAAGUGCAAGUGGGUUGGACAAAAAUUAGGACUUGUUGAUAAAGAUGAGGAUUAAGGAGUGUUGUUGUUGUCCACAUAUGGACGAAACUUUGCUGCUGAUGAAAUUUUCUAAUUUUGGAGUUUCGAAAUAUACACUUUAAAUUUCUGUAAAGUAAUGUCUUUUUCGCAAAUAUUCCUAUAUAUAUAUUAACGGAUGAUUGAGCUUGAUGUGUCCAGGGGACAUUGUACAAAGGCAUUGAGGUGCCCGCCUAUCAACCAAACUUGUAAAAGUCCUGUCUUGGUCCUAGUUCCCCGCCGCUGACACGGUUUAACUUUAUCCUGAUGACAUGGUCAAUGGCAGGAAAUUCGUAUUUUUUCUAUCAAAGAAUGACCCUGUUUUUACAGGAUGUAAGCCAGUACUUAGUAAUCUAUGUAGACUUGUCCGCCUCUAGAUUUUUGUGUAUUUUUAUCACUAUUAUAUAUGGAGCCCGUUGGGUGCUUGCAGGGGUCGGGACACGGAUACAUUUGGGUGUGGGCUCUGCUGUUGAUUAACUGACCAACCCCUGGAGGCACCCAGCCAAGAAAUACUUAACACAGAAAGUAUUGACAUCCGUCCGAGUUUUCUCAUACUAUGUAGAACUCAAAGUUUACAUACAUUUUUAUUUGUAUGAUAUGUAUAUUUAACCAUAUACUCUUUUUUUGCAAACGUGUGUACUAACCGCCAUGGUGUAGACUCGGAGGGAACCUACAUGUGUCCUGCCUACUCUUCAUAUUUUGGGAAUCUCUAUUUUCUUACAAUGUUGUCUGUGAUAUUCAUGUUACGAUUAAUAAAUUUUAAGUUUCCAUCUCU